rnacentral:rRNA from 1 species
UACAGAGACUGCAAGCGUUAUUCGGAUUCACUGGGCGUAAAGGGUGCGCAGGCGGCCAAGUGUGUGAGGCGUGAAAGCCCGGGGCUUAACUCCGGAAUUGCACCUCAAACUACAUGGCUAGAGCAUUGGAGAGGGUAGCAGAAUUCACGGUGUAGCAGUGAAAUGCGUAGAUAUCGUGAGGAAUACCAGAGGCGAAGGCGGCUACCUGGACAAUUGCUGACGCUCAGGCACGAAAGCGUGGGGAGCAAACGGG